AUAUACUGACACGUUGCUUGAUUUUAAUGGUAGCUGUAGUGGCUGUUCAGUCUCGGAUUCCAGGAAUAAUAAAUGGCUGUACAGGUUGCAGCGUAAAAGGGGUAUGUUAUUUUCCCAAUCAAGAGUGGAAACAAGGUUGUUGGACAAAGAAAUGUUCCGUUUAUUCCAAUGGUUACGUACAAGGAUGGAAAACACUAAUUGUAAAAACACAGUGUCCGGAUAAUUAUGGUAGAUGUAUAGAUCCCGGUCAAAAGAAUUCUGGAGGGUGUACCUGUACUGUUUCUGGAAUACUUUGGUCAUACAGAUGUAAAGGAAAAUAAAUGUC